UUAAAUUUUAAUUUAAGAUUUAUAAUUAGGUUUUAUUUUUUAUUAAAUGUAAAUUUUAUUUUAGAGAAUUAUUGAGCAAUAAUUAAAUUUUAUAAUCAAAUAAGUUUGGAAUAAGAAAUAAUAUUAAUUAGGAACAAAUUUUGUGCCAGCAGUUGCGGUUAUACAAAAUCUAAAAAUUAAUUAUUUUAGUUUAUAAUUAAAUUUUUUAUUAAAAUUAAUAUUAAAUUUUUUAAGGUAAAAUUUAAAAAUUUAUAAAUAAUUUGAAAUAAUUGAUUGAAGUUAUGAAAUUUUUUAAUAAACUAGGAUUAGAUACCCUAUUAUAUUUAAUGUAAAUAAGAAUACUAAAUUAUUAAUAGAUAUGUGCUUUAAAUUUAAAGAUUUUGGCGGUAUUUUAGUCUAUUCAGAGGAACCUGUUCUAUAAUUGAUAAUCCACGAUUUGAUUUAUCUAUAUUAUAAAUUUAUAUAUCGUUGUUAUAAGAAUAUAUUUAAAAGUUAUAAAUUUUCAUUAAUUAUUAAUUAUAAUUUAAAUCAAAUCAAGGUGUAGUAGAUGUAUAGAAAGUAAUGGGUUACAAUAAAUUUAUUUAUGGAUAUUAUUUUUUAAAAUUAAUUGAAAAUGGAUUUGAAAGUAAUUUUAUUUAAUUAAAUAAAAUGAUUUUAGCUCUAAAAUAUGUACAUAUUGCCCGUCACUUCCAUUAUAAAAUGGAAUAAGUCGAAACAUAGUAGAUGUACUGGAAAGUGUAUCUAGAAAGUC
rnacentral:ncRNA from 1 species